rnacentral:rRNA from 1 species
UACAGAGGGUGCAAGCGUUAAUCGGAAUUACUGGGCGUAAAGCGUGCGUAGACGGUUGGAUAAGUCGGGUGUGAAAGCCCCGGGCUCAACCUGGGAAUUGCAUUCGAGACUGUCUGGCUAGGGUGCGGAAGAGGGAAGCGGAACUUCCGGUGUAGCGGUGAAAUGCGUAGAUAUCGGAAAGAACACCAGUGGCGAAAGCGGCUUCCUGGUCCAGCACCGACGUUCAGGCACGAAAGCGUGGGGAGCAAACAGG